GCUAUGUUUUUGAAAUGAAUUCCAUGUUCUGUUAUUGUUUGUAAUGCGAAAAGUUUAUAAUUUAUUGGAUUUCACAAAUGUCAGUGAGACACGUUAUGCCGUAAAACCGUUUGAAUCUGAUCAUGCUCGACUCAAAUCUGCACUCGACUCACAUCGGGCA